UGCUUCCAUCUGGAAGAAUCUGGAGACAGGUGCUGCAUGGCUGUCGUCAGCUCGUGUCGUGAGAUGUGGGUUAAGUCCCGCAACGAGCGCAACCCUUGCCUUUAGUUGCCAGCAGUUCGGCUGGGCACUCUAAAGGGACUGCCGGUGUUAAACCGGAGGAAGGUGGGGAUGACGUCAAGUCCUCAUGGCCUUUAUGACCAGGGCUACACACGUACUACAAUGGCCGAUACAAAGGGCAGCGACACUGCGAGGUGAAGCCAAUCCCGUAAAAUCGGUCUCAGUCCGGAUUGGAGUCUGCAACUCGACUCCAUGAAGUUGGAAUCGCUAGUAAUCGUGGAUCAGCAUGCCACGGUGAAUACGUUCCCGGGCCUU
rnacentral:rRNA from 1 species